rnacentral:rRNA from 1 species
UACGUAGGGCGCAAGCGUUGUCCGGAAUUAUUGGGCGUAAAGAGCUCGUAGGCGGUUUGUCGCGUCUGCUGUGAAAACCUAAGGCUCAACCUUGGGCUUGCAGUGGGUACGGGCAGACUAGAGUGCGGUAGGGGUGACUGGAAUUCCUGGUGUAGCGGUGGAAUGCGCAGAUAUCAGGAGGAACACCGAGUGGCGAAGGCAGGUCACUGGGCCGCAACUGACGCUGGAGGAGCGAAAAGCAU